UGAGGGACUGCCGCAACGUGUCUGUGUUC
rnacentral:piRNA from 1 species